GACGAACGCUGGCGGCGUGCUUAACACAUGCAAGUCGAACGGAAAGGCCCUGCUUUUGUGGGGUGCUCGAGUGGCGAACGGGUGAGUAACACGUGAGUAACCUGCCCUUGACUUUGGGAUAACUUCAGGAAACUGGGGCUAAUACCGGAUAGGAGCUCCUGCUGCAUGGUGGGGGUGGGAAAGUUUCGGCGGUUGGGGAGGGACUCGCGGCUUAUCAGCUUGUUGGUGGGGUAGUGGCUUAGCAAGGCUUUGACGGGUAGCCGGCCUGAGAGGGUGACCGGCCCCGUUGGGCCUGAGCUACGGCCCAGACUCGUACGGGACGCGGCGGUGGGGAAUAUUGCCCAAUGGGAGGAAGCCUGAUGCAGCAACGCCGCGUCCGGGAUGACGGCCUUCCGGUUGUGAACCGCUUCCGCCUGUGACGAAGAGUGAGUGACGGUAAUGGGUAAAGAAGCACCGGCUAACUACGUG
rnacentral:rRNA from 1 species